UCAUUACUCAAACAUACAUCUUAUAUCAAUACAAACCCUAGUUCGUCCCUACUUUCCUCUUUUCUCCUUCGUGAGAUCUGUGAUCCUUCUGUGGAAAUCCGCCUCGAUCUCCUCUGGGGUGUGACAGCUCUGCCUCACCUUCCUCCCCGCUCCACAGCCGAGCUCCCGUUCCCUUCAUCCAGCGCCUCCCCUUUCCCCCCGUCUCCUCUCCGCCCGCGUCCCGCCCGAAACCCACGCGCAAUCAUCUUCCACAUCCGUGUGCUCCGCUGUGGUGCUGCCGACGGUAGUCUGCGCCGUGGCUAUACUCCCCACGCGUCGCCUGCCCCGACGGCCCGAGGGUCCUCACGUGUCACGCCGCCUCGGCUGGAGUGUGCCAAGAGAUGAUGGUCAACCUUUGGUUGCACGGCGCGGUGGCCCGCCAUAGGACUCAACGGUAAUGUCGCCGGCGCUCUGCACCUUCCGCCGGUGUCUCCUGUACGUGCCUACAUCACUCCCUGUCCCUUGUCCCCGCUACAGCCGGUGGACCUCCACAUGUCGGACGAGAACGAGGGCACUGACGACCAUGGUCAGUCCCAUGACACCAUGCCUCUCCCACCUCUUUCGGUGGCUUUCUGCUGCCCCUGCACUGGGAGCUCAACGUGGAGGGACUCGCCAUGGAUCGAGCAUCGUUAUGGAGUCUGGACGCGGCUGCCCACUGCCGUGCAAGUUGACUGUUCCAACGCCCACCAAGUGUCUGACGUAAUGUUUGGACGGCUGUAGGUAAAAGAAAAUCAAUUCUAUCCAGAAACUAUGUUGCUAUACUCCUAAUUUUGUGUUCUUCCAAGAGAUUUGACUUCACCAUUAAUAGAGCGAACGGACUUUCCUCAACAAUGCACCAUAUGUUGUUUCCAUAUUCAAUUUUCUCUUUAUUAACUUAGUUAUUCUCUUAUUACCAUGUUUAUGAUUUCCACUGCAAAGUUUGAUGACAUGUUUCCUCUUAUAGUGCUGAUGAUAAACCAUCAAAGGUUAUAUGCGUGUUCCAUCCCAAGCACAAUUCUUUUUCUUUACAUGUUCCUUUUGUGAUAUGUCUGCUUAUGCAAUGAGGCUCAGCUUGCUACUGGUGGAUUGCAGCUUGGAAAUAUGUUGAAAGAGAGCUUUACUGUCAGGAAGCCCUCCAUAGGAAAUAGGAUGCAGUGUAAAAUGGACUGUGCCUUAACCCUUGUUUGGCAUGAACUUCAUGGAUGAGGCAAUUGAGCUCUACACAACAAGCAUAUUUAAUACAUCAAGGUUGUUAGGCACAAUUGUUCAUGUAGAACCAUCUGCUAAACUUACUAUGACUUCCUUUCUAGGGUGCUCCAUGGAAUCUUCGAACAGAUCAAUGGAUAAAGAAAAAAAGAGAAGUCAACACAGGGCUCUGUUAGGCCUGCUGCUUCCGGUCGUCCCCCCCCCCCCCCCCCCCAAGAGUGUCGGGAGAAGCGGCUGCUACAGAACGCAACGCACGCUAUAUGCUCAUGGGUCUUCAGGUCAGGGAUGGGAGGCUCUUCUACAAGCUCAUGAUCGACAUCGAGGAGCUGCAUAUCCUUAUUUAUAGAGAUAAUUAUAAGUUUACGAGAAAUUUAGUGUGCUCUACAUCUAAUUUCAGAGGAAGUACAUGCACUGUAGCAGCAUGCAAGUGGGUUCAUGCCAUUGUACAUAGCAAGUUCCAGCUGCUGUAUAUCCUUACUUUCAGAGACAAUUUGUAGUUUCUGAGAAAUAUAUAUUUCAUAGCACGAGCACGUGACUAUGAGAGAUUAUUAGAACAGUAGUUCUACCUACUAUCACAUGUAUUUUUCCGUUGAUUGUACGAGUUUACAUGUACAUCUCUGAAUAAAGAAGAACCUUAUUACUGAAGUUAUAGAAACUGAGGUGGUGUUGCUCUAUAUAUACAGGCUAUUAUUUGCAUGCUUUUUCUGAAUAAGUGCAGUUUAAAAUGUGUUGAAAUCUAAGAGCAGACAGUUGCAUGUUCGACUUCCGUUGUGCAGUACCAUUUCUUGCAAAAUACUUUCAAUUAGAAUAGUUGUCGUGCAAUAUUUGCCUAGCUCUAAUACCAACCAUUCCUCACAAAAUACAUACAUCUUUUUUAGUGUCUGAAUUUUAUUAUCUGUUGGCGAUCAGUUUUUCCUACUGCAGUUCUUGGAUGUGCUAUCCUUCCUUCUCACUCUCAGGUUGUAGCAGUAAAUGGAUGGCAAGCAUCACGAAGCAGCUCAGCUCCAUCGCCUCCAGUGGCAGCAAGGUCUGUAUGCUCAGCCCAACCCUGAUGCUCUCUGUGCAUUUUAUUUAUACACCAAAAUAUACUGAAUGGAGGACAAGUUCUACUUUUUGUUAAUGGAGCUAGCUUGAUUGAUUUUUUUUCAGCAUUAGCUUGAUUGAUUUAAUCCCCGUGGACGUGCUACUUUUUGUUCAUGCCAACGUGUAUUUGUGUUAAUGUCUACAAGGGAGCAAGUGUACUAGAAGGAUGGUUGGACGGAGAGUAAUCUGCUACAAUGUUUUACAUCUUUUAUGGUUAUUUCUUGAAUCUGUGAUAUAAUAUAUAAUGCGUUCUGUAGAAAUCAAAAUGAUGUUCAUUGCA